UUAGUUCACGUAUUCGCCAUUCAAAGCGCGCUGUCGGCGUUUGGUGGCGCCCGCGACUUGAUAGCAGAACUUGUAAACUUUUGACAGCUAUCAGCUGUCUUUCGAAAUUUCGAAUGGAGUAAAAAGAAAAAAGAUCGUAAAAAAUCAGGGGGGCGUCGCUGUAUUAUGAGUAGAAUGAAACCUUAUAAAAUGUAAAAGCUUUAUCAAACAUCUACUACAAUGGUGAUACUACAAUUCUGAUGAAUAAUUUAACGUUUUUUUUCGAACUAAUAAAAAUCAGAGGUGACGAUUCUCUUUGGCCGAAUUUUCCAGCAGCGUUCACAAAAUGUGUCCUGCAAUCUUGGAUACCGAAGAGCGUUGCCUGGGUGGCAUGACGUUUUUUGCCCAGAGCCAUCCGUCCGAACUUUGUGGUAGCAAUGGUCUACCCUUGACCCCAAAUUCCAUUACGAUAUAUGGAAAAUCUCAAUACCUCAAAACCAUAAAUCAUCCGAAUCUUUCUACUUACCUGGAUAUCAUCAGAAGCAAACAUGAACGAACAGUGGUAGUUGCAGAGUACAGUGGCAUACCAUUGUCCGGUAGAGAUUCUUUGCCAACCAAUGAGAUUAUUAGAAUAUCUUAUCAGUGUUUAUUGGGACUAGAACACAUCCAUGAACUGGGUCUUGUUCAUAGACAUUUGAGUCCUGACAAUAUACUGAUAAGCCAAAAUGGAAAAGUUCAGUUGUAUAAUUAUGGGUUAUACUUCAUGACUGACAGCGGGAGGAAUAUUUCAUUUCCCAUUGGAUAUCCAAAAUAUACAGCACCUGAAGUUUUUCUUGGCUCAGGAAUAAGUGGCAGGAAGGUUGAUUCGUGGUCCCUGGGAAUGAUAAUGGCUGAAUGUUUCUUGGAAAAGCGUAUCUGGCAUGGCAUCAAAUUGUCUCAAUGCCUGCGAAAAGUCUUAAGCCUUUUGCAUUCUGAGACAAGUGUGUUUGAACGAUUAGCUCAAGAAAACGACCGCUAUGACCAAUACAAGAAACUGCCACAGGAAAUUAAAGACUUUGUGGACGCUUGUCUCGCAAUUCGACCAUCUGCGCGAAAAACUUGUGAGGAAUUGUUGCAGCUACCGCUGUUCAAAGAUCUAGCGGAGAACGACAUCAAAGAGAAAUCUGUUAAUGUGUACAAAAAUGUGACAAUCAGAAGAAUGGAUGAGUUGUAUUAUCUGUGGCAAUUAGCCGGAGGAGACAUGACGAUAGAACUGAAAAAACAAGGCCUCAUACGAUCGAGGCCCCCGAUUCUAUCAAUUCCAAAUUUGGUGAUUCUAUUGGGUCAAAUGUUUGGAAGAAGAGACACUGCAGGCCUGCUCGAUUUAAGAGUAGUCAAAGUUCCUUUGGACACAUUGCGACAACGGUUGUCUCACAUUCCUUACAUAGCUAAUUGUCCGCGCUUAACCAGUCAAAUGCACAUCAAAGCUCAGGACGAUUUGACGGACGUCGCAUCUCAGUUGCCACUCAUCAUACGCGAGAGAGAUACAGAAUACCAAUUUUACAGAAUUGUCAUUUACGAUCGAUUGCUUCAGGUUUAUCCGAUAACAAGAAAAGCGAUAAUUCGCGAAGCUCACAAAGAUAUACCACCACCUGUUCGAGGCCCCGUUUGGGCAGCCCUUCUUGGAGUUAGUGGCGAUAUACAAAAGCGAUACGAUAUGAUCGACAAGGAAACUCCCACCCACACGGAUCGUCAGAUAGAGGUCGAUAUUCCACGUUGUCAUCAAUACAGCGAGCUCUUGUCUUCUGGUGCUGGUCACGAGAGAUUGCAGAGAUUAUUAAAAGCUUGGGUUCGCGACAACCCUCAUUACGUUUAUUGGCAAGGGCUGGAUUCCUUGACCGCUCCAUUUCUAUAUUUAAAUUUUAACAACGAAGCCCGCGCUUUCGCUUGUCUCUCUGCCUUUAUACCGAAGUAUCUCCACAAAUUUUUUCUCAAGGAUAACUCGGCAGUGAUACAAGAAUAUUUGGGAAAAUUCUCCCAAAUAAUAGCUUUUCACGAUCCACAAUUGGCGAAUCACCUGAGAUCUAUCAGUUUUGUUCCUGAAUUAUUUGCCAUACCAUGGUUCCUAACUAUGUUUUCGCGUAAGUUAUUUUUCACCAAUUUUUCCCAUUCUUCAUUGUAUUUUCAUACAAUUAAUGAAUUUUCUCUUACAGAUGUUUUUCCGCUUCACAAAAUUCUUCAUCUCUGGGACAAACUUUUGCUGGGUGACUCGUCGUUUCCCCUCAUGGUCGGGCUCGCGAUUCUUAGACAGCUUCGAGAUUCUUUACUCACUUCGGGAUUCAACGAGUGCAUUUUACUGUUUUCGGAUCUACCGGAAAUCGAUAUUGAAUUGUGCGUCAAAGACUCAACUACAAUGUACGAGAGAACCCCCGCGAGUAUUACAUACAGAAGACAUCAGUUUGAUCAAUCGAAGGCAAAAAAUUGGAGCGAACCGGAGCCAGAGACCGAAAGAAUGCCAAGAAUAAGCAUCGAAGACUUUUUGAACCUCACCGAUAUUACUCAGGAUAAAAUAAUAGUAGUUGAUAUACGAAAUAAAAUGCAGUUUGAAAGAGGGGCUGUUCGAGGCAGUAUAAACAUUCCGUUUUCAAGCGUGCAACUUUCUCAUACUCACAUUGAUACUCUUGGUCCACAAGCCAAACCCCUUGCCGAGCAAAAAGAUCGUUUAGUCGUGAUCAUAGGGCCUCACGAUCAGAACAAUGCUCUUUUUGCAGAUUUCCUCAUAAAGUGCAACAUAAUGGGUGUGUGCUCUCUACAAGGAGGGAUAUAUGCUUUACGGUCCAAAUCGCCAAAUAUCCUCGUCAAUUCGAGCCGUUAACAUAAACAAACAAAAAAUGACUACUUUGAGUACCGAUAGUUGUUUUUCGGAUUUUCGAGACCGGACACUUCAGUGUAUAAUCUACGACAAAAAUCAGAUUAGAUUUCAAAGCCAUAGAUUGGCCAACAGUGCGAUAAACGCGCAUGGGUCGAAUAAUCUCGUUGCCAGGGUAACCAAUUCGAAAACAUUGUCGAUCGUUCAUUCUCGCGUGGAGCGUGU